rnacentral:lncRNA from 1 species
AGAAUGUCUGGUUUCCUCUGUACAAUUGGUUAGACAAAAUUGGUUAUUCAACUGCACAGAUAAACUAGAAAUUCGCUGAUGCCAAUGCACAAUAAAAAAGCAGAUCACUGUGAACAAUAUAAACAGCAAAUAGAUUAACAUUAUCCAUGUUCAUGAUGCCAAUGCACAACUACCAACAGAUCAUGAUGCCAUACAAGUAUCUGUGCCUCAUGAAAGAUGCUAAUGGCACUCAUGACCACCAGGUUCAUUCACACAAGGAUGCUAAUGGGAGCUUAUAAAGUUUGAUGCAACACUAUAAUUCCCAUAAUGCAAUCUGUUCCUGUUCCAUAGUCUUCAUGAUUGAGCAAAAAGAGC